GCUCAGGAUGUGAAUCUGCGCUUUUAUGGCGCCGAAUUGUGGUCUGUAGACUUUGACGUUAUCUGCCGGGCCAAGUUCCUUGGAAAAGGACAGCUGAGAGGGUGAAACUCCCGUUCGCCUGGUAGAAUGAGUCUUUGUCAACGAGUCGAGUUGUUUGGGAUUGCAGCUCUAAUUUGGUGGUAAAUUCCAUCUAAAGCUAAAUAUUGGUGGGAGACCGAUAGCGUACAAGUACCGUGAGGGAAAGAUGCAAAGAACUUUGAAAAGAGAGUUAAAGAGUACCUGAAAUUGCUGAAACGGAAGCGAAGGAAACCAGUGUUUGUUGGUUCAUAUUUCCCUGGCCACUUGUGGUUUGGGCGCUGUGAGCUUGCGUGGGUUUGGGUUGGUUGAUCCCUUUGGAAGAGCGCAGUCAGAGUUGAUGUCUGUUGCUAGCACUGGGUUUGACUGAUGCAGACGAAAUGGUUUUCUUUACCCCGUCUUGAAACACGGACCAAGGAGUCUAACAUAUGUGCGAGUACAGGGGUGUCAAACCCCGGUGCGUAAUGAAAGUGACAGUGGUUGGAUAUUUUGCACAAUCCGCCGGCCUCAAUCCUUCGGGAGAACGGUCUGAGUGUGAGCAUACAUGUUGGGACCCGAAAGAUGGUGAACUAUGCCUGAA
rnacentral:rRNA from 1 species